GGGAAUUCAAUUGUGUUAUAUUAGUCCGUUCUCACACUGCUAUAAAGAUCCUACCUGAGACUGGGUAAUUUAUCAGCAAAGGAGUUUUAAUUGACUCACAGUUCUGCUUGAUCCCAGAGGCCUCAGGAAACUUACAAUUAUGGCAGAAGGGGAAGCAGACACGUCUUACACGACAGCAGGACAGAGACAGAAUGAGAGCAAGAGCAGGGAAAACUGCCUUAUAAAACCAUCAGCUCUCAUGAGAACUCACUCACUGUCAAGAGAACAGCAUGGGGGAAACUGCCUCCAUGAUCCAGUCACCUCCCACCUCGUUCCUCCCUGGACACGUGGACAUUUUUGGGAUUAUAAUUUGAGAUGAGAUUUGGGUGAGGACACAGAGCCAAACCAUAUCAUGUGUAAAAAGUCAAUAAACUUCAAAUAAAUUUAGAACUUUAGUAGACCUAAAAAAUAGCAUAAUAAAUAGGCUAACAUAUAGUGUGUCUAAGACACUCUGAAGUGACAAGAAUAGACCAGACUUGUGGGAAAGGGAAGAACUGAAAGAUCCACUUGGUGAGUUUUACCGUAGAAAAAAUGGGAGCUAUAACAGUACCUACCUGAAAAGGCUGUGGAGAAGAUGAAAUGACAAAAACUUCCAGGAACUAAUCUUGAAACAGACCAAGCACAGAGAGCCAGCUACAGAAGUCCAGAGAUUACCUCAAGGCAGUUAGUCAACAACCCAGCCAUUGUUCAGAUGACAGCAUCCUACACUCCAGGUGGACCAUGGCUCGAGAUAACCACCAGAACAAGACACUCCCACCUUGUACUCAGCAGCCUGCCUGCCUGCCUCCCAUUGCAAGUUCCCCUUUUUAAGCUCUCCUCCCCAGCCUAAAGUGUGAAGUGGUUGCUUUGGAAGAGAAUCUGGCCGUUUCUCGAUUACUAGUGUUGGUUAAUAAAGUCACUUUCUUUCUACUACACCUCACUGUUGUCACUGGACUCUGUAAGUGGUAGCAGCUAUGUACCAGGACUGAGGGAAAAAAUAGGAAGAGGAAAAUUUACCAUAAACUAGAAGCUUGGUGCCCUGAAACCUGGUACUUAGACCACAGAUGAGCCUGCUCAAUUACUGCCGCUGCCUCUGAGGAGCCCUGAUGACACUGAUGCUGAGAUACUGAUGGAAGCUGGUGGCUGGGUCCAUGGCUGCUGCUAAAGUGAUACUGAUGGUGCCUGGAAAACAGCUACCAUUGAGAGAGGUUUUGAAGACUUUAGAAGGAUCAGAGUGACCAUAUGCAAUUUCCUGAUUAAAAACAAAAAAUGUACGGAUAUGUGAACCCUUUCCAGUCUUCUCUUACGGUUUUAGACAACACAGUUCAUCCGAGUCUUUCCCCAAAGGAAUAUCAGAAAACUGAAGAAGUGAAACGCCUUACUCAAGGUCACAAAGAGGGGUAGUGCAGAACAAAGAACAAAUCUUGACGUCCUAUUUCUUAGUCUAAAACAAUCUUGUCAUUGCCCCACCUAUAGCACAUUUCUUGGACUAUUUAAAAGACACUAUUUUAUAAUUUAAAAGUAAAUUUUAUUUCUUUAACAAUGAAAAAUCACUUAAAGUCCACGUUGGGAAACAAGGCUGAUUUUUAGAAAAAAAAAAAACUUCUCUAGCUAUAAAAAUAUAGGAAUAACUUUUUCCUCAUCUUAUUUUGAAAGCAGUUCCAACAUGUGUAGACCCAAGAGAAGAAAAAAAAUAUAUACACACACACACACACACAUAUGUUAAUAUAGACACACAAAUGUAUACAUACACAUAUAUAAAACAUUCAUAAAUAUGACAUUCACUUGGGUGACUAUAUUUGCAUUUUAAAUGUUUUUAUUUAUACAUUUUUAUUGAUACAUAUAUUAGUGGUACAUAUUUUGGGAGUACAGGUGAUAUUUUGAUACUUAUAGACAGUGUGAAAUAAUCAGACUAGGGUGGUUGGGAUAUCCAUUGCCUCAAACAUAUGUCUUUUCUUUGUGUUGAAAACAUUACAAUUCUUAUUUUCCAGUUAUUUUGAGAUAUAAAAGCAAUUAUUAACUAUAACUAUCCCACUGUACUAUCAAAUACCAGAACUCAUUCCUUUCAUCUAACUAUAUUUCUGUCCCUCCUAACCAACUUCUCUUUAUCCCCUCUCCACUCUUCCCUUCUCAGACUCUGAUAACCACCAUUCCACUCUCUAUCUUCCUAAGAUCCACUUUUUUAGCUCCUACAUGUGAGUGAGAACAUGUGACAUUUGUCUGUCUGUUCCUGGUUUAUUUCACUUAGUGACCUCCAGUUUCAUCCACGUUGCUGCAAAGACAAUAUUUCAUCCCUUUUUAUGGGUGAAUAAUAUUCCACUGUGUAUAUAUACCACAUUUUCUUUAUUCAUUCAUUCAUUGGUGAACAAUUAGGUUGAUUCCAUAUCUUUGCUACUGUGAAUAGUACUACAAUAAACAUGACAGUGCAGAUAUCACUUUGAUAUACUGAUUUCCUUUUUGCGGGGGAUAUGUGUGACAUUUCUGGAUUAUGUGGUAGUUCUGGUUUUUAGUUUUGUAAGGAACCUCCACACUGUUUUCCAUAAUGGCUGCACUACUUUACCACCAACGGUGUCCACUCAUUCCCCUUUCUUCAUAUCCUUACAAGCACUUGUUAUUUUUUGUCUUUUCAAUAACAGUCAUUCUAACUGGGGUGCGAUGAUACUUCAUGGUGAUUUUGAUUUGCAUUUUCCUGAUGAUUAGUGAUAUUCAGCUUUUUUAUUAUUUAUUUAUUUAUUUAUUACAAAACGCUAGCAAAAGGUCUUCCUUUUAUGAUAUAUAUGUGUGUGUGCAUAUGCACAACAUGCACACACACACAUACACACCACUUAUACAUGCCACAGGCUAAUAUCCUGUUGGCCAUUUGGAUAUCAUUUUUGAGAAAUGUCUAUUCAAGUCUUUUGCCCAUUUUUAAAUUAGAUUAUUUGUUUUUGGCUAAUCAGUUUGAGUUUUUAUGUAUUCUUGUUAUUAAUCCCUUGUUGGAUGGAUAGUUUGCAAAUAUUUUCUCCCAUUCUCUGAGUUGUCUCUUCACUUUGUUGACUGUUUCCUUUAUUGUGAAGAAGCUUUUUAGCUUGAUGCAAUCCCAUUUCUCUAAUUUUGUUUUGUUGCCUCUGCUUUUGAGGUCUUACUCCCAAAAAUCUUUGCCCAGACUAUUGCCCUGGAGCAUUUCCCCAAUGUUUUCUUUACAUUUAAGUCUCAUCCAUUUUGAGUUGAUUUUUAUAUAUAGUGAAAAAUGAGAAUCUAGUUUCAUUCUUCUGCAUAUGGAUAUCCAGUUUUCCCAGAAUCAUUUAUUAAGAGUUUGCUCUUUUUCUCUAAUGUAUUUUCUUGGUGCCUUUGCCAAAAAUGAGUUGAAUGUAAGUGCAUAGAUUUCUUCCUAGGUUUUACAUUCUGUUUCAUUGGUCUAUUUGUCUAUUUAUACGCCAGUGUCAUGCUGCUUUGGUUGCUACAGCUUUGUAGUAUAAUUUGAAAUAAGUUAGUGUGAUGCCUCCAGCUUUGUUCUUUUUGCUUUAUCUAUUUUGGGUCUUUUGUGGUUCCAUGUGAAUUUUAGGAUUGUUUUUAUUAUUUCUAUGAAGAAUAUCAUCUGUAUUUUGGUAGUGAUUGCAUUGAAUCUGUAGAUUGCUUUGGGUAUUACAGAUAUUUUAACAAUAUUAAUUUUUUCC
rnacentral:lncRNA from 1 species